AAUUCUAGAGCUAAUACAUGCUAAAAACCCCGACUUCGGAAGGGGUGUAUUUAUUAGAUACAAAACCAAUGCCCUUCGGGGCUCUUUGGUGAUUCAUGAUAACUAUACGAAUCGCACGGCCUUGCGCCGGCGAUGGUUCAUUCAAAUUUCUUCCCUAUCAACUUUCGAUGUUUGGGUAUUGGCCAAACAUGGUUGCAACGGGUAACGGAGGGUUAGGGCUCGACCCCGGAGAAGGAGCCUGAGAAACGGCUACUACAUCCAAGGAAGGCAGCAGGCGCGCAAAUUACCCAAUCCCGACUCGGGGAGGUAGUGACAAUAAAUACUGAUACAGGGCCCUUUCGGGCCUUGUAAUUGGAAUGAGUACAAUUUAAAUCCCUUAACGAGGAACAAUUGGAGGGCAAGUCUGGUGCCAGCAGCCGCGGUAAUUCCAGCUCCAAUAGCGUAUAUUAAAGUUGUUGUGGUUAAAAAGCUCGUAGUUGAACCUUGGGCCUGGCUGGCCGGUCCGCCUCACCGCGUGCACUGGUCCGGCCGGGCCUUUCCCUCUGUGGAACCCCAUACCCUUCACUGGGCGUGGCGGGGAAACAGGACAUUUACUUUGAAAAAAUUAGAGUGCUCCAGGCAGGCCUAUGCUCGAAUACAUUAGCAUGGAAUAAUAAAAUAGGACGCGCGGUUCUAUUUUGUUGGUUUAUAGGACCGCCGUAAUGAUUAAUAGGGACAGUCGGGGGCAUCAGUAUUCAACUGUCAGAGGUGAAAUUCUUGGAUCAGUUGAAGACUAACUACUGCGAAAGCAUUUGCCAAGGAUGUUUUCAUUAAUCAGGAACGAAAGUUAGGGGAUCGAAGACGAUCAGAUACCGUCGUAGUCUUAACCAUAAACUAUGCCGACUAGGGAUCGGACGGUGUUAUUCAUGACCCGUUCGGCACCUUACGAGAAAUCAAAGUGCUUGGGCUCCAGGGGGAGUAUGGUCGCAAGGCUGAAACUUAAAGAAAUUGACGGAAGGGCACCACCAGGGGUGGAGCCUGCGGCUUAAUUUGACUCAACACGGGGAAACUCACCAGGUCCAGACACAAUAAGGAUUGACAGAUUGAGAGCUCUUUCUUGAUUUUGUGGGUGGUGGUGCAUGGCCGUUCUUAGUUGGUGGGGUGACUUGU
rnacentral:rRNA from 1 species